CAGCAGCCACGGGAAUACGUAGGUGGCAAGCGUUGUCCGGAAUUAUUGGGCGUAAAGGGCUCGCAGGCGGUUUCUUAAGUCUGAUGUGAAAGCCCCCGGCUCAACCGGGGAGGGCCAUUGGAAACUGGGAAACUUGAGUGCAGAAGAGGAGAGUGGAAUUCCACGUGUAGCGGUGAAAUGCGUAGAGAUGUGGAGGAACACCAGUGGCGAAGGCGACUCUCUGGUCUGUAACUGACGCUGAGGAGCGAAAGCGUGGGGAGCGAACAGGAUUAGAUACCCCAGUAGUCCCUGUCUCUUAUAC
rnacentral:rRNA from 1 species